UACGUAGGGUGCAAGCGUUGUCCGGAAUUAUUGGGCGUAAAGAGCUCGUAGGCGGUUCGUCACGUCGGCUGUGAAAUCCCGAGGCUCAACCUCGGGUCUGCAGUCGAUACGGGCGGACUGGAGUACUGCAGGGGAGACUGGAAUUCCUGGUGUAGCGGUGAAAUGCGCAGAUAUCAGGAGGAACACCGGUGGCGAAGGCGGGUCUCUGGGCAGUAACUGACGUGGAGGAGCGAAAGCGUGGGGAGCGCACAGG
rnacentral:rRNA from 1 species